rnacentral:lncRNA from 1 species
CUUAUCUAAUAGUAUGCUAAUAAAUAUUUAACAGUUGGAUCUCUGGAAAAAGAAAGUCUGUCUAUAGUGGUUGCCAAUUUCUGUGGUAUAAACACUCCCAUCGUUUCAAUAUCAAGUUACCAUGUAGUGUCAGAAUGCAGAGUUGGAAAGAAAGGCUAAGAAUUGGCUCUCACAAGCCAGUAUGAGCUGGCUUUAGCACACCAGUGACAUUAGAUGGGAGAAAGAAGAUACCCCAUAGCUCAGAUUUAUUUAAAAAUAUAAUGUCAAGAGUUCCUGUUGUGGCUCAGUGGAAAUAAAUCUGACUAGUAUCCAGGAGGACGCAGGUUCAGUCCCUGGCCCCAGUGUUGCCUUGAGCUAUGGUAUAGGUCUCAGAUGUUGGAUCUGGCAUUGCUGUGGCUGUGGCAUAGGCCAGCAGCUGCAGCUCUGAUUUGAUCCCUAGCCUGGGAACCUCCAUAUGUUGUGGGUGGGGCCCUAAAAAGACAACAACAACAACAAAAGUCAAAUGUGAAGCACUUAACUGAAAUAAAUAUACAAUUAUAUCAGACCCAUAAAAGAGAAAUAUGUUGUUCCUAAUAGCAGUAAAACAAUUUUUUUUUUUUCUAGACAUGUCCUGGCAAUUCCUCUUUUUGCUACUUUUUGGAGUUGUUCUCUGGAAAAUUUCCUGAUAUUGCCAGGAAGCUGCCACUUUGAAGGAUUUCAUCUCUGAAAGAGAAAGACUAGGAGGUGAGACCUUGGGAGGCCAAGUGCUGUCCGUGGCUGAGCUGGAGAGUACCUGUGUUGAGCGUGUCAUUCAUCUUAAAGUGAUUGACCAUUUAUGGGGAUGGUGAGAAGGAGAAGAGCAUAAAGCAGAUCAAUGGAAAGAAGGCAGAAAAUGGAGAAACAGGAAGAAGGAGACUGAGUUGGGGGAGUACUGGGAGAGCAAUGGAUUUGAGGAAAAGAUGAAGAUGAUAAGAUUAUGUGUGAUGGGAGAGACUCAUAAAUGUCAUGGAAUAAUGGAAUUUGAGUCUGCAUUGUUUGACUACAUUUGUGCUCCACGCUUCUAGUCGGCUGCCCGACAUUUUCCAAAUCGACUCACUGGUCACUUCAUAUCUCUCCUCUCUUCAAACCAGCAACCUCCUUCCUCAGCCUACACAUUUUCUUUCAUUGAGAAAAAGAGAAGUAAUCAGAUGAGAACUUCCGUAUCUUUCCAUAUGGAGUCUUCUAAGCUACUUGGAUUUGUGUCCAGAUAUUCUGCCUCUCCUCCAUCUCUGUGAGAAAGACUGAGACCUGGGGCCUGGGCCCUUGGCUGCAGUGCUUCACCUGGACAAAUGUCUCUUCAAGCAACAAAGUACAGUGAGGUCAUAAGGGACUAAAAAUAACUGUGUGCAUAUGGAAAUUAU